rnacentral:rRNA from 1 species
CCUACGGGUGGCAGCAGUGGGGAAUAUUGCACAAUGGGGGAAACCCUGAUGCAGCGACGCCGCGUGAGUGAAGAAGGAUCUCGGUAUGUAAAGCUCCAUCAGCAGGGAAGAAAAUGACGGCACCUGAUUAAGAAGCCACGGCUAACUACGUGCCAGCAGCCGCGGUAAUACGUAGGGGGCACGCGUGAUCCGGAUUUACUGGGUGUAAAGGGAGCGUAGACGGGAGUACAAGUCUGGAGUGAAAUGCCGGGGCUUAACCCCGGAACUGCUUUGGAAACUGUGCAGCUAGAGUGCAGGAGUGGUAGGUGGAAUUCCUGGUGUAGCGGUGAAAUGCGUAGAUAUUAGGAGGAACUCCAGUGGCGAAGGCGGCUUACUGGACUGUAACUGACGUUGAGGCUCGAAAGCGUGGGUAGCGAACAGGAUUAGAUACCCGUGUAGUC